CAAAACGUUAUUUAGCAAACACGAUUUCCAAAAGAUGGAGGCUUUGGUGGGGGCCGUGGGGGGGCGGGCGGGGGCUUUUCCUAAACUGUCGGCUUAAUAAACGAGCGUUACAGACCACAAGCAACCGUUAGGCCGGGUGUCCUCUGGGCCCAGGUGGCCUCUGCGCACCUGUGGGCCGCGCGUCUCCACCUGCACACGGUGCGCCAGCUUCGGCUUGGGCGUUCGCGCCGGACCCGGACGCCCGGGACCCCCAGCCACCGCCAGAACCCUGCGUCUCGCCUCCUUCAUCUGCCAGUCAACACAGCCGCUCCUCGUGGUUUCACAACGUGGGAUCUAUCCCAUUGCCGACUUUCAGACAGUCCAGCAGGCGUUGGAGGAUGAGGACGAGCUCAUCUCUGGGUUCGCGCGCUCACUUCGGAGAAGUCCCCACUCCCGGGGUGUUCAGUGCGUUCAGUCCCGGCAGCCCGGGUGGCGCUGACGGAGGUGGGGCCGCAGCCAGCGCGAGAUGGCGAAGCAGAGGGACCAGGGCCCCUGGAAAAGGUGAAAUUGCCUCUGCCCUCCUUAUACUUGAGCCUCGCACGCUCUUCACCGCGCUCUAGCACACCUACCCGCGGACCCACUGUCCCAGCCCUCAUCCUCCCCCACCCUGGACACUAUGGGCUUCAGGGCCGCGCGGAAGCCGCGGAGAGGAAGACCGCCGGACAGCAGUUGGGCGUGGCUUCUCGUAGAAAGGCAGCCCCUGGGGGCGGGGAGAGCUACGUAACCGUCGACUGGGAUCGCUGAUUGGCUGAAGUGCGGGGCGCGGAGGCCGCAAGCGUCUCCGCCCGGGCCGGGCGCUCCCUCUGCUCACUCGGCCGCUCGUCCUCACCGGCUCGCGAGGGAACCGCUCAGGCACUGCCGCCUCAGCUCAGUGCGGACGACGGAGAGAGGGAGGCGGUAGGAGGACACCCUUGCUUGCUCCCACCCGCACCCGGCCUCCCAGAGACGGCGCGGAGCCGAGGGGGAGGAGCUACCGCGGGCACGCCCCGCCUCCGGCCCGGGAAGACUACGCCGGCGACCCAGCCGGCCGGCCGCCGCCCCCCUCGCCGGCCGAGACCCGCCCCCGGCCCUCCCCCGGUGGCAUGGAGGGGCCCCGCUCCUGACGGCUGCGCCGCCGCCUCGGCCCGCGCCCCACCUCGCGGCCCGUCUCGCCCGCCCCCGCUCGCAUGUCCGCGCCGCCCUAGCCGAGGAUGCUGAGGAUGAAGCUGCCUCUGAAGCCGACGCACCCCGCGGAGCCGCCGCCCGAGGCGGAGGAGCCGGAGGCGGACGCACGGCCGGGCGCGAAGGCGCCGCCGCGCCGCCGCCGUGACUGCCGUCCCCCACCGCCGCCGCCCGCGGGCCAGCCGCGCGGCCCCCUGCCGCCGCCGCCGCCCCGGGGACUCGGGCCGCCUGUUGCUGACGGAGCGGCGGUGGGGGCGGGCAUGCCGGGCGGUGGCGGGGGGCCCUCGGCGGCGCUGCGUGAACAGGAGCGGGUGUACGAGUGGUUCGGGCUGGUGCUGGGCUCGGCGCAGCGCCUGGAGUUCAUGUGCGGGUUGCUGGACCUGUGCAAUCCGCUGGAGCUGCGCUUUCUUGGCUCGUGCUUGGAGGAUCUGGCGCGCAAGGACUACCAUUACCUGCGCGACUCGGAGGCCAAGGCCAACGGCCUCUCGGACCCGGGGCCGCUGGCCGACUUCCGAGAGCCAGCCGUGCGCUCGCGCCUCAUAGUGUACCUGGCACUGCUGGGCUCGGAGAACCGAGAGGCCGCCGGCCGCCUGCACCGCCUCCUGCCCCAGGUGGACUCGGUGCUCAAAAGCCUGCGCGCGGCCCGGGGAGAGGGCUCGCGGGGCGGCCCGGAGGACGAGCGCGGCGAGGACGGCGACGGCGACCAGGAUGCCGAGAAAGACGGCUCUGGCCCGGAAGGCAGCGGAGCCGAGCUCCGCGCCGGUGGCGGACUCGGCUUUAGGGCCCAAGAGGAGCUACUGCUGCUCUUCACCAUGGCUUCCCUGCACCCGGCUUUCUCCUUCCACCAGCGGGUCACCCUGCGGGAGCAUCUGGAGAGGCUCCGCAUCGCGCUUCGCGGGGGCCGAGAGGACGCCGAGGUGGAGGUGGAGCCCUGCAAGUUUGCCGGCUCCAGGGCCCAGAGCGACUCUGCUCAUGGUGAUUAUGUGCAAAGCAACGAGACCAGUUUAAUAGAACAAGCCCCAAUACCUCAGGAUGGACUUACUGUGGCCCCUCAUAGAGCUCAGCGAGAAGCUGUACACAUUGAGAAGAUAAUGUUGAAAGGAGUCCAGAGAAAAAGGGCUGACAAAUAUUGGGAGUACACUUUCAAAGUAAAUUGGUCUGAUCUUUCAGUCACAACAGUAACAAAAACCCACCAAGAACUACAGGAAUUUCUACUGAAGCUUCCGAAGGAAUUGUCUUCAGAGACUUUUGAUAAGACCAUUUUAAGAGCCCUGAAUCAGGGUUCUUUGAAAAGGGAAGAACGGCGACAUUCUGACCUAGAGCCCAUCCUAAGGCAGCUAUUUUCAACUUCAUCACAAGCUUUCCUGCAGAGUCAGAAAGUACAUAGCUUUUUCCAGUCCAUAUCUUCAGAAUCACUGCACAGUCUCAAUAACUUACAGUCCUCUCUGAAGACUUCUAAGAUACUAGAACACUUAAAAGAAGACAGCUCAGAAGCUUCAAGUCAAGAAGAAGACGUGUUGCAGCACACCGUAAUCCACAAGAAACAUACCGGGAAAAGUCCCAUUGUAAACAGCAUUGGUACUAGUUGUUCUCCAUUGGAUGGGCUUACCAUGCAAUUUUCUGAACAGAAUGGAGUUGUGGAUUGGAGGAAGCAGAGCUGUGCCGCCACUCAGCACCCAGAGCACUGUGUGACCUUAGCUGACCAGCAUUCUGCUGAAAAGCGGAGCUUAUCUUCAUUAAGUAAGAAGAAAGGAAAGCCACAAAUAGAAAAGGAGAAAAUUAAGAAAACCGACAACAGAUUGAAUAGUAGAGUAAAUGGUAUUAGACUCGCCACUCCUCAGCACGCCCAUGGUGGUACUGUGAAAGAUGUGAAUUUGGACAUUGGAUCUGGACAUGACACAUGUGGAGAAACAUCUUCAGAGAGUUACAGUUCUCCGUCUAGUCCACGACAUGAUGGAAGAGAAAGUUUUGAAAGUGAAGAAGAAAAAGACAGAGACACAGACAGCAAUUCUGAGGAUUCUGGGAAUCCAUCCACAACUCGGUUCACAGGUUAUGGUUCUGUCAACCAGACUGUCACUGUCAAGCCACCUGUACAGAUUGCUUCACUAGGAAACGAGAACGGAAGCCUUUUAGAAGACCCCUUAAACUCACCCAAGUAUCAGCAUAUUUCCUUUAUGCCAACUUUACACUGUGUCAUGCACAACGGUGCCCAGAAGUCUGAAGUUGUCGUUCCUUCACCCAAAUCUGCUGAUGGUAAAACAAUAGGGAUGCUUGUUCCUAGCCCUGUUGCUAUCUCUGCAAUACGGGAGUCCACAAAUUCAACCCCUGUUGGAAUACUAGGGCCAACAGCUUCUACUGGAGAACUGGAAAAACACCUUGAAUUACUGGCUUCCCCUUUACCUAUUCCGUCAACCUUCCUUCCACAUAGUAGUACUCCUGCUUUGCACCUAACAUUUCAGCGGCUAAAAUUGCCACCACCACAGGGAUCGUCUGAGAGUUGCACGGUUAACAUCCCUCAACAACCAGCCGGAAGUCUGAGCAUCGGAUCACCAAACACUGCCUUUAUUCCUGUCCACAACCCAGGUAGUUUUCCAGGGUCACCUGUGGCUACCACGGACCCCAUCACAAAGUCUGCAUCUCAAGUGGUAGGACUAAAUCAAAUGGUGCCUCAAAUUGAGGGAAACACAGGGACAGUCCCUCAGCCUACCAAUGUGAAGGUAGUUCUUCCAGCAGCUGGCCUCUCAGCCGCACAGCCACCAGCUUCCUACACCUUACCAGGCUCGCCCCUCGCUGCUGGCGUGCUCCCCAGCCAGAACUCCAGCGUGCUCAACUCAGCAGCCCCUUCUCCCCAGCCGGCGAGCACGGGCCUCAGCCAGGCCCAGGCUGCUGUUCCUCCCGCGGUUCCUACCCACACCCCAGGCCCAGCCCCGAGCCCAAGCCCUGCUUUGACACACAGUACUGCACAGAGUGACAGCACGUCUUACAUCAGUGCUGUGGGGAACACGAACGCUGGUGGGACAGUAGUACCACCGCAGCAGAUGGGCGCAGGUCCAUGUGGUUCUUGCGGGCGAAGGUGCAGCUGUGGGACCAAUGGAAACCUUCAGCUAAACAGUUACUAUUAUCCUAAUCCAAUGCCCGGCCCAAUGUACCGAGUCCCGUCGUUCUUUACCUUGCCGUCCAUUUGCAAUGGCAGCUACCUCAACCAAGCACAUCAGAGCAAUGGAAACCAACUUCCUUUUUUUCUGCCUCAGACUCCAUAUGCAAAUGGACUGGUACAUGACCCUGUCAUGGGGAGCCAGGCCAGCUAUGGCAUGCAGCAGAUGGCAGGGUUUGGGAGAUUCUAUCCUGUAUACCCAGCACCUAACGUAGUUGCCAACAACAGUGGUUCGGGGCCCAAGAAGAAUGGGAAUGUCUCGUGUUACAAUUGUGGUGUCAGCGGACACUAUGCACAGGACUGUAAGCAGUCGUCCAUGGAGGCCAAUCAACAAGGCACUUACAGACUGAGAUACGCACCUCCCCUCCCCCCUUCUAACGAUACGUUGGAUUCUGCAGACUGAGACAAGUAAAGCUUGCCUACUUAACACACUCAAGUGUGGGGAGUCAUGGGGUGUGGAGGGGAGGAAAGGAAAGCUCCAACUUGAUCGGCUCUAAGGAGGCCUCAGCCAGCCUUUCACCAGAAGAAAUGGCUGGUUGGAAAGCAGUGCCACCUGGUGGGAGAUAAGGACAGUGCAAGCAAGCAGACGCUAUUUCCUGCUGACCUAAAUUAGAGAAAAUUAAACGUAAGAGAGAAAACAUUUGGGAUUGUAAACCUGUGCCCAAAACCUUAAAGAAUGCUGGCGGCUGGCUAUAAAAGCAAUUUGAGCAGUCUCUUCGUUCAGCCGUUGACAUUUGAGUUUGUGUAUAAACACCUUAAAGGCACAAUGGUUCUUCACCGUUUCCUUUGCACUUCUCUGUUCAUUUGGUCAUCAUGAUUGUGAAAGGGAUGGAACCUUCCCCCUCUGUUUUCUGUAUUAGGAAUUUGGGGUUCGGCAAGAUUAAAUGAGGAAGGCCAGGCCUCGACUUCGGCCUGCACCGUGUCCUGCCUCCCAGAUGUGUCUGUGCUGAACCACGUGCAGUGGCUUUUACAAACUGUAAGGGGAGAGGAACCCACAGACUAACAACCAUGUGGCCCCUGGAUUCCUAAGAGGGCUGGACCUGGUUGUGGGCACACCUGGAACGCAAGCCACGUCCUAGCUUGUCGGGAUGUCUCUUUUCUGUGUCUCUCUUGUAGGAUUUAAAGACGUGGAAUGGGAAAAUUUCCAGAGAUAGGAAACCUCAGGACUUUUAGAACUAAGUAUUAAAUAUUUGCCUAUCUCAGAUAAAUUCAAGCAGUAUCAACGUCUGCUAAUACAGAAGGUUUUAAACUCAUGGGCACACUGAGUUUUGCUUCGCAAAGAUUUUUGUUAUCCUUGUAUCUCAAGUUGAAUAUAAAGUGGAUAUUCCGUUUUUAAGACUUCAGAAAUUAAGGAAUGAACGGAUGAACAGACAGGGCAAGUAACUGCUGGUAUUUUCAAAGCUGUGAUAUUUGCAAGUUGGUUGUCCCCUUCUACUAGCCACGCCCCACAAAACACUCCUAAGGCUAAGAAUCCGGAUGGAAAUAAUAGCAAUCAUCCUCACACCACUGAAUAGGGCUGAGUGCUAAGAAAACCACCAGGCUACCUAGUAAGUCAGUGCUUGCUCUUUGCUAGCACGUUGGAGUUAAGUCCUGUUUGUUACAUGGGAACUCAGUUGUGCCUUGGACACUCUCAUAAAAACCAACCUGCUGGCCAGGCCUUACUAAUCCUGGCUUUGUUCUCAGCACUCACCACACAGAUGACCUUUCUCAGGCUGCUUUGCAGAAGGAAGGUAACACUCACUUUGUAGACCAGUUCGCAGGAUUAAACCUGGCAAAAUACACAAAGCACUCACCGUCUGGCACAUAGUAGGCUUCCAGUAAAUUUGCAGUGGUGGCUAACAACCCUUGAAUGCCUGGAGUAGGCCAGACACAGGCAUUUCCGCCUCACAACAAACUCGUGAGGUCAGUUCUCUGCCCCAUUUUACAGUUAGGGAAUUCAAGGGGCACAGGGUAAGAGUCAGUGUCUAAAGCAGGGGUCCUCAGACUGCGGCCCAUGGGCCACAUGAGGCGGUGGGAUUGUAUUUGUUCUCAUUUUGUUUUUUUACUUCAAAAUAAGGUAUGUGCAGUGUGCAUAGGAAUUUGUUCAUAGUUUUUUUUUUUUUAAACUAUAGUCCGGCUCUCCAAUGGUCUGAGGGACAGUGAAUUGGCCCCUUGUUUAAAAAGUUUGAGGACCCCUGGAAAGACACAGAGCAAGUGAGUGACCAAGUGCCUGGGCAGUGUGGCUUCGGGGCAUGGCUGGACACCUCCUUGUGCCUGUCCUUCAGGUGUGUCAGUGCAAGUACAGACAGCCCUGGGCUGGGGUCAGGAAGGUGGGACUCAGGCUCUGCCUAAAACAUGCUGUCACCUUGAGCAACUAGUCCUUUCUAGACCUUUCUUUUUUGUCGGAAAGCUACGUGAAUGGUCAGUAAAUGGUGGUAAGAGAUUGAACUCAGUGAUCUCAUGUUCCUUUCCGUUCCAAAAUUUUGACUUGAAGCUUGCUUUUUCACUUUCAGUGAUUUACCAAGGUUUACACAUCUUUCUGGUUUACUGUUUUGAAGUCUUUAUUUGGUGUAGGUCAGGAACACAAACCUCAACUGUCACAAUGUGGUUGUGAGAUGGGAGAAUGUUCUCAGGUCCCCAGGGAAAAGCUGGGAGGAAGGACAGAUGUCUGCCGGCCUGUCCCCAGGGGGCAGCACCAGUGCAGGGCUGGCUGCAUUUCUGCCGCCUCCAUCCACGUUUCUAGGCUCCUCUCUUCUCGUGUCUAUAAAGCUGCCAUUUUCAGGGACUUUUUAGCCAAAAGAUAAAGCUACGGGACUAAGUCUCAUGCCAGAUGAUAGGAGGUUAAGCCUAGCUCUGGGAUUGGCCACAUGAACCAAGGGUUGGCAAAUUACGGCCCACAGGCCGAGAAUGCUUUCUCCAUCUUUAAUUGGUUGAAAAAAUAUUUUUAGUGACACAUGAAAAUGAUAUGAAAUUCAUACUUCAGUGUCUACAAAUAAAGUUUAUUGGAACAUGGCUACUGUCCUUCCUUUACGUCUUGUCGGCGGCUGUGAUAGAAAUCAUGUAACCCUCACAGCUCAAAAUAUUUACUGCCCUGUUAGCGUAAAAGCCUGCUGACCCCUGACGUUUACCAACCUUAUCCAAAUAAAGUUGCACUUUGGAUUAUCUUUAAAGUCCUAAUGUUCUCUAAAGAGGAAUUUGCA